CAGAGGUCUCAAGCGUUGUUCGGAAUCACUGGGCGUAAAGGGUGCGUAGGCCGCACGGUAAGUCAGAGGUGAAAUCCCGGAGCUCAACUCCGGAAUGGCCUCCGAUACUGCCGUGCUCGAGGACUGGAGAGGAGUCUGGAAUUCACAGUGGAGCAGUGAAAUGCGUAGAUAUUGUGAGGAACACUAGUGGCGAAGGCGAGACUCUGGACAGUUCCUGACACUGAGGCACGAAGGCCAGGGGAGCAAACGGGAUUAGAUACCCCGGUAGUCCUGGCAGUAAACGGUGCACGCUUGGUGUGGCAGGAUUCGACCCCUGCCGUGCCGGAGCUAACGCGUUAAGCGUGCCGCCUGGGAAGUACGGUCGCAAGAUUA
rnacentral:rRNA from 1 species